UACAGAGGUCCCAAGCGUUGUUCGGAUUCACUGGGCGUAAAGGGUGCGUAGGUGGUCGGGUAAGUCUGAUGUGAAAUCUCCGAGCUCAACUCGGAAAUGGCAUUGGAUACUAUUCGGCUCGAGGGUUGGAGGGGGGACUGGAAUUCUCGGUGUAGCAGUGAAAUGCGUAGAUAUCGAGAGGAACACCUGCGGCGAAGGCGGGUUGCUGGGCUGAUACUGACGCUGAGGCGCGAAAGCCAGGGGAGCGAACGGG
rnacentral:rRNA from 1 species